CGUAACAAUGGGCCGAUUAUUCCAUUUCAACAAGUGAAUGCUCGAACAGCGGCUUUGACAGGUGUUUCUGAAAGAACCGUGAACCGUAUAGUUUCAGAGGGAAAAAUCAUGGAAAGUAAUUUUACAGCGAGAACUGAAGUCCCUAAUCAAGCAGCUCAAGGACCUUCCACAUCCACAGCUUGUGAUGACAAUUCCACACCAGAGAACACUACUUCCGAGGCUAAGACGAUAAAACUAGUCACUCCAGGUAAAAGUAGAAAAAGAAAAUUAACUGUUUCUGAUUUGGAUGGAAUUAUCACGACGAGAUGAAUGGAGAUAACUUCAGUAAAUGGCUACAAGAAAAGCUUAUCCCAAACUUAGAGCCCAAUUCAUUAAUAGUGAUGGACAAUGCGUCAUAUCACUGUAUUAAAAUAAAUAAACGCGUGACAAUGAACAGUAAGAAACAAGAGAUGCAA